rnacentral:rRNA from 1 species
UACGAAGGGGGCUAGCGUUGCUCGGAAUCACUGGGCGUAAAGCGCACGUAGGCGGAUUCCUAAGUCGGGGGUGAAAUCCUGGAGCUCAACUCCAGAACUGCCUUCGAUACUGGGAAUCUUGAGUCCGGAAGAGGUGAGUGGAACUGCGAGUGUAGAGGUGAAAUUCGUAGAUAUUCGCAAGAACACCAGUGGCGAAGGCGGCUCACUGGUCCGGUACUGACGCUGAGGAGCGAAAGCGUGGGGAGCGAACAGG